rfam:Candidatus Woesebacteria bacterium RIFCSPLOWO2_01_FTLL_44_14 rifcsplowo2_01_scaffold_2936, whole genome shotgun sequence.
GCGGGAUUAGUUGAUCGGCUCAACAACUCCCUUCCAAGGAGUAGAAACGGGUUCGACUCCCGUAUCCCGCU